UCGGCCAUGGAGAUGGAGCUGCCCAAUCUCAACGGCCCGGUGAAGCAAGAAAUCGUUGUGCAUGAUGCAGCAGCCCAAGGAAGAGGAGGUGGUGGUGGCGCAAUCGCGGAGGCGUCGGAACACGGCAUGAGGGGGACGGAGGCCACGCCCACGCCCACCGUGAGGAUUGAGGCCAACAUGCUUGACUGCCCCAUCUGCUCCUCCCCCUUCAAGCCUCCCGUCUUCCAGUGCAAAGGCGGGCAUCUGGCUUGCGGCAGCUGCGUCGCGAAGCUCCCCUGGAAACAGUGCCAGAGGUGCGACCACGGCGGCGACUUCCACGGCUGCCCCUUUGUGGACGCCUUCGUCUCCUCGGCCAGGAUGAAGUGCGACCACCACGGCUGCGGCCGCCAGGUCACCUACCACAAGCUCGACGACCACAAGAGCGCGUGCCCGCUCGCGCCCUGCAGGUGCCCGGUGCCCGGCUGCGGCUUCGAAGGCCCGCCGCCGGCGCUCCCCCUCCACCUCAGCGCCAUCCACUCCAUGCCCGUGCACGCGGUUCAGUACGGCAAGGUGCUCCAGCUCGAGGUGCCGGUGUCGGAGCCGCGGCGCCUGCUGUUCGCGGAGGAGGACGGCCGCGCGUUCCUCGUGGUCGGCGGCUCGCUCGGCCUGGGCGUGCCCAUCGCCUUGUCGGUCGUGUGCAUCAGGGCGGGGGCGUCCCCGCCGCCGCACUACAUGGCCAAGGUGUGGGCGAACGGGCCGCCGGCGGUGGCCAACGACAGGACCGACGCGGUCCGAGCGGAAUUCCAUGUGACGAGCAGCAAGGAGCCCGGCACCGUCGCCGUGGAGGAGCUGACCUUCUUGACGGUGCCACACAAGCUGCUGGCUGGGGCUGGCCCGUCCAGGACGGUGUCCCUCCACGUUCGCAUUGACAAGGUCACCUCCUAA
rnacentral:rRNA from 1 species